CAGGAAAUGAACUAUGAAACCUCGAACAGUCUGCAGUGUCUGCUACUCUUAGAAUGACUCACAUGCAGAGAACAGAGAAAAGAUCAACAAAUGUUAUGCAUGUAGAAAUAACAGCAUUGAACGAUCAGUGAGCACCAUGCAGUAUGCAAUUUGAAAAUCUGUGAUCUGUCCCCUCUCCUUAACCACUGUGCCAGAGAUAGAUUUGGCAAAGAUCCCAGCUAGAAAGGAGUAGGAAAACUAUAUCAAAGGAGGGAGACUGUGCCUGGAGUCUUGAGCUACUGCCUUACUUUCCACUGAUUUGCCAAUGUACAGCAGAUAAGCAUAGGUAUGCAGGUUGCAAGGAAAGGACAAGCCUGCCAUUAUAAAUAAAACUGCUUCUCUUACUUAACAGGUUGAGGCAAUCAUGUCCAAGCUGAGACAGCUUUCAUUUCUGAGAGGGAAAAACACAAGCAGGAAAGCAGAUGGAAAACUUUUGCUAGUCAGCAAAUGCCUGAAACCAUCAAUCUAUAGGAAGAUGCAAGAAUACUGACAGACUUUGAACAGCAUUCCUGGUCUCAGUUUAGGCGUGUGCUCCUUGUCGGAAGAAGCAGCAUGCUCAACACAAGACAGCAUAUGUUGUACUGCCACAUGCCCAUAUUGAAGUAGGCUGACAGAAAGAUAGGCUGAAGCCAGUGUCAGCAGCCUGCCGUCCAUGGGUCAGAUCCAGCCCCUGGAGCCAUUUUGUCUCACUUGCGGAGCUGGGGAAGCUUCUGUGACAUUUUAGCAGUGGCAGGUUUUGCCCGGGCAGCAAGGAGAAAAACUGCGGCAACAGCACAGUGGAGGGAAGUAGUGGAUAGGUGAGCUGGGUUGAAAGUGGCCUGAACUCAGAUCUAAGCUCUGUGAAAGCAGCCCCCAUGCCAAAAUGUUGCUCUGUUCUGGGAUAGAGUCUCCUUUGAGACACAAGAAAGAUAGCCUAACUGAGCAAGCCCUGUGCUGUUGAGAUAUGCCUACAUAUGAGUCACCAGAAACUGCACCAGCUACAUUAUGCAGGUAUGCAGCAGGCAUGGCAUCCACCAGCAUGGAAAUGGAGAAGCAAGAAACAAGUCCCCUAAAUACUUGAAAUAUUUCAAGCUGCACAAGGCCUAUGGAUAAUAAAUGGGUCUAAGCAGAGAGUGUCAACAGCUUGAAGGACUGUUAGAAAAAAGCAGAGCUGGAAGCCUAUUAUCAGUGUCAGUAUGUUUACCAGGAAGGGG